GAAAUUCCUAGCUACUAUGACAACAGUCAUAUCAUUCAUCAUCACAGAAUCAUUAACCGUGAGAUGACGAUUUUGGGAUACAAAGGAUGGAUGCCAGACUUUGGCGUCACGGGUUGUUUUGGGAGUAACAUUUAAAUCGAGAUGUUUUGGGGGAGAAGAAGAGGAAGCCAUUUUAAAAGUGUUUCGAGGAAAGUCUUAAAAAAACUGAAUUUUCAAAAAAUGGAAGGCAGUAAAGUUGAAAUGCAGUUACUCCAAUCAGGCCUUGUAGAGGUAAUAUCUAUAGAUGAAAAUGAGGCACCGUUUCCAGGAUCUCAAGAUUUUCUCGGAUCCCCAUAUUCCCUUUUUUCUUUUCCAGAUUCCAAAAC
rnacentral:lncRNA from 1 species